UACGUAGGGGGCAAGCGUUGUCCGGAUUUAUUGGGCGUAAAGAGCGUGUAGGCGGCCUGAAAGGUCAGCUGUGAAAACUCGAGGCUCAACCUCGAGACGUCGGUUGAAACCAUCUGGCUAGAGUCCGGAAGAGGAGAGUGGAAUUCCCGGUGUAGCGGUGAAAUGCGCAGAUAUCAGGAAGAACACCCGUGGCGAAGGCGGGUCUCUGGGCCGAUACUGACGCUGAGGAGCGAAAGCGUGGGGAGCGAACAGG
rnacentral:rRNA from 1 species